rnacentral:rRNA from 1 species
CCUACGGGUGGCAGCAGUGAGGAAUAUUGGUCAAUGGCCGGAAGGCUGAACCAGCCAUGCCGCGUGAAGGUCAGUGCCCUAUGGGCGUUAAACUUCUUUUGUGCGGGAGCAAUAAUGGUCACGUGUGGCCAGACGAGAGUACCGUACGAAUAAGCAUCGGCUAACUCCGUGCCAGUAGCCGCGGUAAUUCGGGGGAUGCAAGCGUUAUCCGGAUUUUUUGGGGUUAAAGGGUGCGUAGGCGGUGAGGUAAGUCAGCGGGGAAAUGCCCCCGCGCAACGGGGUGAAGUGCCAUUGAUACUGGCUUGCUGGAAUGCGGAUGCCGUGGGAGGAAUGUGUGGUGUAGCGGUGAAAUGCAUAGAUAUCACACAGAACACCGAGUGCGAAGGCAUCUCACGGAUCCGCGAUUGACGCUGAUGCACGAAAGCGUGGGUAUCAAACAGGAUUAGAUACCCGAGUAGUC